GAAGAGCCACCGCUUCCCUUCUUAUCCUCACACGAAUGCAGCGGAGGCCGCACGAGAUCGGAUCCACCUCACCAAUCCGCCCCGCGAGCACCGGAUUUUCUUCUACCCCCAAUUGCAGUGAGCGGCGACGGCAGAUUGGAGGAGACCGCCCGACCGGCCGAACUCGGAUCCACCGCACCAGCCCGCCCUGCGUGUACCCGACCCUCCUCUCUCCCCAAUUGCAACGACCAGCGAUGGCUCUCUCGGCUUGCUGGCUGGUCCUCCCUUACUAUGCCUCAACUGUAUCCUACAUGCUGCUUGCUUCACUUGUUCAACCCCAAUGCUUAAAAUCUUCACUUUCUAUUUAUAUGAUUUGACAUGAAUUGCUUCUUAGCAGUGCUGUAUUUUUACUAAUGUUCUACACAAUCUAGCUUGUUUCUUUUAUGUCUACCAUGAAUGUAAAUCCAUCUUUCAAAUGCACCCACAUGGGAACAAGAUUGGUUUCAUGAUCAAGUCGGCAUGUGUAGCUUUUACUACUAUGUAACAAAAAAGGGGAACAAAAUCAGAAGGUGAGUAGCAAGUAUCCGAUACAAUGAUUGUGGCUGAAGUUCUAAAGGGGAAAAAAGUGCACAUAGCACCUUCCUUUCCAACAUGGAGUGUGCAUCAAGAUCUGGGAGGUGUGGGAGCUCUCCUUCAUCAACAUGGAUCCGAGAUCUAGAAGAAAGAAUUGAACAGAAGAGUAGAGAUGCAAGAGAUGCAAAUGGCAGUUAAUUUACAGGCACUAGGAGGAGUUAGCCACGAGACUUGAAGCAUAAGAGCGAGCAAUUGAAGAAAUGGAGAGGAAGCAGCAAGAAGAAGUGGAAGCUAUGAAGAAGAGCCAAGUCGGACAAGAAUGGAGCCUCGGAAAAGAAGCGACGGAGAUGGCAUGUGAUGCAAAGAUAAUUGUUGAAUCAUACAUGGACAACACUUUUGUGUUCUUUAGUUAUCUAUAUAAAUAUUACUUUGCAACUUGUCUAUUGUUGUGUCAAAAUGGUAAAUUAAUGUU